rnacentral:piRNA from 1 species
UGGUGUGUGUCUGUGUCUUCUGCCUAGA